rnacentral:rRNA from 1 species
AACGAACGCUGGCGGCAGGCUUAACACAUGCAAGUCGAACGCCCCGCAAGGGGAGUGGCAGACGGGUGAGUAACGCGUGGGAAUCUACCUUUUGCUACGGGAUAGCUCCGGGAAACUGGAAUUAAUACCGUAUGUGCCCUUCGGGGGAAAGAUUUAUCGGCAAAGGAUGAGCCCGCGUUGGAUUUGCUAGUUGGUGGGGUAAAGGCCUACCAAGGCGACGAUCCAUAGCUGGUCUGAGAGGAUGAUCAGCCACAUUGGGACUGAGACACGGCCCAAACUCCUACGGGAGGCAGCAGUGGGGAAUAUUGGACAAUGGGCGCAAGCCUGAUCCAGCCAUGCCGCGUGAGUGAUGAAGGUCUUAGGAUUGUAAAGCUCUUUCACCGGGGACGAUAAUGACGGUACCCGGAGAAGAAGCCCCGGCUAACUUCGUGCCAGCAGCCGCCGUAA